rnacentral:misc_RNA from 1 species
CGAAAUGCGAUAAGUAAUGUGAAUUGCAGAAUUCAGUGAAUCAUCGAAUCUUGAACGCACCUUGCGCUCCUUGGUAUUCCUUGGAGCAUGCCUGUUUGAGUAUCAUGAAAUCCUCAAAGUAAAUCUUUUGUUAACUCAAUUGGUUUCUACUUUGGUAUUGGAGGUCUUUGCAGCUUCACACCUGCUCCUCUUUGUUCAUUAGCUGGAUCUCAGUGUUAUGCUUGGUUCCACUCGGCGUGAUAAGUUAUCUAUCGCUGAGGACACUGUAAAAGGUGGCCAAGGUAAAUGCAGAUGAACCGCUUCUAAUAGUCCAUUGACUUGGACAAUACUUUUAUGAUCUGAACUCAAAUCAGGUAGGACUACCAGCUGAACUUAAGC